rnacentral:rRNA from 1 species
ACUCAAAUGAAUUGACGGGGGCUCGCACAAGCGGUGGAGCAUGCGGUUUAAUUCGAUGCUACGCGAAAAACCUUACCAACCCUUGACAUGGUGGUCGUAGAUUAUGGAGACAUAUUCGUCAGUUCGGCUGGACCACACACAGGUGUUGCAUGGCUGUCGUCAGCUCGUGUCGUGAGAUGUUGGGUUAAGUCCCGCAACGAGCGCAACCCUCAUCCUUAUUUGCCAGCGAGUAAUGUCGGGAACUAUAAGGAAACUGCCGGUGAUAAGCCGGAGGAAGGUGGGGACGAUGUCAAGUCAUCAUGGCCCUUACGGGUUGGGCUACACGCGUGCUACAAUGGUAUCUACAGAGGGAAGCAAUACGGCGACGUGGAGCAAAUCCUUAAAAGAUAUCUCAGUUCGGAUUGCACUCUGCAACUCGAGUGCAUGAAGUUGGAAUCGCUAGUAAUCGCGGAUCAGAAUGUCGCGGUGAAUACGUUCUCGGGCCUUGUACACACCGCCCGU